CAGAGGUCCCAAGCGUUGUUCGGAUUCACUGGGCGUAAAGGGUGCGUAGGUGGUGAGGUAAGUCGGAUGUGAAAUCUCCGAGCUCAACUCGGAAAUGGCAUUGGAAACUACCUUGCUCGGGGGUUGGAGGGGGGACUGGAAUGCUUGGUGUAGCAGUGAAAUGCGUAGAUAUCUAGCGGAACACCAGUGGCGAAGGCGAGUCCCUGGACAACUCCUGACACUGAGGCACGAAAGCUAGGGGAGCAAACAGGAUUAGAUACCCUGGUAGUCCUAGCCGUAAACGGUGCAUGUUUGCUGUAAAAGGAAUCGACCCCUUUUGUGGCGUAGCCAACGCGUUAAACAUGCCGCCUGGGAAGUACGGUCGCAAGAUUA
rnacentral:rRNA from 1 species